UUCUGGCUCAGGAUGAACGCUGGCGGCGUGCCUAACACAUGCAAGUCGAGCGGAGAGGUUGCGGAGAUUCAAUCGAUGAUCUGCUUCUCUAGCGGCGGAUGGGUGAGUAACACGUGGGUAACCUGCCCUGCACUGGGGAAUAACAGUUGGAAACGACUGUUAAUACCGCAUAUGCGCACGGGGUCGCAUGACCCCGGGCGGAAAGAUUUAUCGGUGCAGGAUGGGCCCGCGUCGGAUUAACUGGUUGGUGAGGUAAUGGCCCACCAAGGUGAUGAUCCGUAGCCGACCUGAGAGGGUGACCGGCCACAUUGGGACUGAGACACGGCCCAAACUCCUACGGGAGGCAGCAGUGGGGGAUAUUGCACAAUGGGCGCAAGCCCUGAUGCAGCGACGCCGCGUGAAGGAAGACGUAUUUCGGUAUGUAAACUUCUAUCAGCGGGGAAGAAGAUGACGGUACCCGACUAAGAAGCCCCGGCUAAUUACGUGCCAGCAGCCGC
rnacentral:rRNA from 1 species